GCGCCGUAGGGGACGGAGCUCUCAUCCUGAUCCUGCUCUCAGAAGACGCGGCCAGGACAGCCAAGGUCUACCCGGAGCUGGUCUUAAUUCUGUUGAAGGCUGAACCUGGACCUGGGCAGAGCCCGUCACAGCCACGGAUACAACAUUGGCGCGGUCGGAACCGGAGCGCGGAAUCGGAGCCAUUAGGCAAGUGUUUUUUUGUUUAUUAAGAACAAUUGUCAUUUGACUCAAUUGACUGCAUUUAAUUGGCAGCAUCAUUUUGUGAGGAUUUUAUUAGUUAAAAUAGUCACGUGAUCGAAACGUUGGCUGAAGAAGUCCCUCAUGGAAAAAAUAGAUCAAUUGAUUCAAAAGGUUACUCAAGUAUUUGUGACGGAGUAAAUGUAGAGUUACUACCCACCUCUGGACCUGGGCCAGACGGUACAACCAGGUGCGUUCACGUCAUUGUAUUGUAAAGAAUAGGCCACCUCACAACUGCUAUGAUUAAACCUUUAUUGACCUGCUACAGCACCAGAGUAAAACA